AUCGAGCCCUGGCAGGGUAGGUGGCUCUCGAAAGCGGCCCGUACGGUGCUCAUUAACUCGUCCCUCUCCAGCCUGCUAUUAUUCAUCAUGAGCUUCUACAGCCUUCCCGAGACUCUACAUCAUGAGAUUGCCACCGUUCAGGGGUGUUUCUUCUGGGCAGGCGAGGGUGAUAAGCAGAAGUACCACAUGGUCAGGUGGUCUGAGAUCUGCAAAACUCGCGACCAGGGCAGACUCGGGAUCAUGUCCUCCAAACGCAUGAACAUUGCCCUUCUGACUCGGUGGCUCUGGCGGAUUGCCAACGGAGAUGGUGGCCUGUGGCUUCGCAUCAUUCAGCAGAAAUACCUCCGUGGCUAG
rnacentral:rRNA from 1 species